ensembl:lncRNA
UCUCUACUGGUCGUUGUCAAUUUCCGAUGGCUGACCACUAUGCUCCUCACCUUCAAGGUUAUUGUCUCGUUUGCAAAACUUCUUGAACCACCACUGCACUGUACGUUGGUUAGCAGUUCCUGGGCCAAACACAUUGUCGAUGUUGUGAGCUGUCUCCGCUGCUUUAUGACCCAUUUUGAACUCAAAUAAGAAAAUCCCUCAAAUUUGCUUUUUGUCUAACAUCAUCUCCAUAGUCUAGGAUAAAUAUAAAAUAAACAGCAAUAAUAAAUCAUAAGCAGAAAACCAUAAAGCAGGAAAUUCACAUUAAAAUGAUAUAUAGUAUAACCACAUUUAUUUAGAAUGUAUUCCGAUAUCAAACACCAAGUUUCAACAAUGCAAAAACUGCAGUUACUUUUGCACCAACCUAAUACAUGGCUCAGUGAACUAAACACAGAAAUAUAGUCAUGAGAUUAAAUGAUAGAAGGACGGGACCACCACAUUUUUCAGGGAUCAGUUGUGUGCUACUUACCUUUUUUAGAUAAGACAUUAAAGAGUUCCAUUUGUUUAGAAUGCAGCUAAUUUGUAACUGAAUUUUAAAGGUAUGUUGGUCUUAAAAAANNNNNNNNNNNNNNNNNNNNNNNNNNNNNNNNNNNNNNNNNNNNNNNNNNNNNNNNNNNNNNNNNNNNNNNNNNNNNNNNNNNNUCUACACUUCACUGCCCUGAAUGGGAAGAUUUACUUUCGAAGCUAUAAAGGGAGAGAGGUGCAGACAGAGGUAGGAAUGUGCCAGAAAAGAGUUUCUGUCCUCGUGUGGCUUCUCAGGAUUCUCACAGGCUGCUCUUGGGUGUCCUGCCCUCUUCCAGCCGGCCCAGAGGCAAAGUUAAGGUGAUAGUUAAUGUGUGUAUGCAAUCACUUGGUCGUAUCCCACUCUGCGACCCCAUUGACUGUAGCUCGCCAGGCUCCUCUGUCCAUGGAAUUUUCCAGAUAGGAUUACUGCAGUGGGUUGCCAUCUCCUACUCUAGGGGACUUCCCGACCCUGGGAUCAAACCUGAGUCUCCUCUGUUUGCAAGCAGAUUUUUUACCACUGUACCAUGGGGGGGAACCCCAGUAGUUAAUAUUGACACUUAUUAACUUGUAAAGAUGAAUAAGGAUUAUAAAAUGGUUUUGUGCUUUUUGGAUGAAAAGAACUGUGAGUAUGAAAUUACAUUAAUAGAAAUUUUGACCAGACCUUUUGGGGAAAUUAAUCAUAGUGUUACUGGCAUCUUCCUGUAUAUCCAAUAAUAAUUAAUUCCUUGGAGAAUUUUGUUCACUGUAGGGCCAGAACUAUUAAUAUGAAACAGAAGAUCUUUAAUAACUGCCAUGUAUGCCUUUGCCAUGGCAUCGGGUAGGUUUUAUGGGGAGAAAUAUGCAGAACAGGAAGUAUUAGCAUACCUUAAAAAGCAAACAACAUUCUGGGCAAGGAGUUUAAGUACUGAAAACAGAAGAGAGGGAUGUGAAAGGAAGAAAGAUACGGAAAUUACAAUUUAAACAAGAGAGUAAUGCCAGUCUUUCUCAAGAAAUAGGCAAGUCAUGCGUAAAUACAUAUAGAAAUUACCGAUUAACAUGUCUAAUAGCCUAAACCCAUCUGAGAGGGAAGGAACUGGGUUCUGUUUGUCUUUGUAUCCCUGCAUUGUGUACCACCUAGUCUCCCAGAACUGAAAGUCACAUUUGAUUUAGAGCUUAUAGGGAAACAAAAAACAGAGCUUGAGGUUAGGAUCUGAGAUGGAGAUUAACAUGGGGUGUAAAUAUUCUGGGCAGUAGUAGGUAUUUGACUGGAGAUACGAAAGCCUGGAAUCAAAAUGUCUGCUUUAAAAAGAAGUGCAGUGUUUAUGAUGGCAUUGAGGGUAAAGGAAAUGGUUUUAAUUUUAUUUUUUAAGAGUUGAUAUUUAAUAGAGUCUUCACGUAUUUUCCUUAGUAUGAUCACAAAAAUCCUUUAUAAAUUCUAAUACAUUUCCUCUGAGAAAGUGUAAAUAGAUGGUUGUUUGUUUUUUUUUAAAGAUUAACAUUUAAUGAUUUUAGAUUCUAGAUUUCAUGAUUAAAUUCUGUUAAUGAAAAGAUGAUAGCUCUAUCACGAGAAACCAUAUGCAGAGAACUGAAAGCUGGAGUAAGUUUCCUUCUAUUUCUAUCAAGUAGAAAUAGAAUAAUAAGCAUACUCAAUGAAGUGAUUAAGAUCAUUCACACAUACUGUCUAGUAUGGCACUAUAAUUAAUUCAUCAGUAAGUAGCAGCAUAUGUAGUUACAUGGAAACAAUCUUACUAACUUUCUAUACUGCCCAAAAGAUUACUCUGUUGGGAGGACACUUGCAUAAAUAAAAAGGUCCUUGGGUAAUCGGACUCCAUCAGGCAUGCCACGAACUGUUCUGUAUUGACAGGUUUUCCAGUUGGCUGAAAUUAGCAUUUUAAGUGGCGAAGGAAAUGUCAACCCACUCCAGUAUUCUUGCCUGGAGACUCCCGUGGACACAGGAGCCUGGUGGGCUACUGUCCCUAGGGUCGCACAGAGUCGGA